GCCCUCGUUGUCUAAUGGUCAUGACGUCGGACUUCUACUUAGUGCGCUCAGGCGAUCCGGAGGUUGCGAGUUCGAGUCUCGCCGGGGGCU